rnacentral:tRNA from 1 species
GGGUCCUUAGCUCAGUUGGUUAGAGCAUCCCGCUCAUAACGGGAUGGUCGAGUGUUCGAGCCACUCAGGACCCACCA